UACGUAGGGGGCUAGCGUUAUCCGGAAUUACUGGGCGUAAAGCGUGCGCAGGCGGUUUGCUAAGACAGGUGUGAAAUCCCCGGGCUUAACCUGGGAACUGCGCUUGUGACUGCAGUGCUAGAGUGUAUCAGAGGGGGGUGGAAUUCCACGUGUAGCAGUGAAAUGCGUAGAGAUGUGGAGGAACACCGAUGGCGAAGGCAGCCCCCUGGGAUAACACUGACGCUCAGGCACGAAAGCGUGGGGAGCAAACAGGAUUAGAUA
rnacentral:rRNA from 1 species